GACGAACGCUGGCGGCGUGCCUAAUACAUGCAAGUAGAACGCUGAAGGAGGAGCUUGCUCUUCUGGAUGAGUUGCGAACGGGUGAGUAACGAGUAGGUAACCUGCCUGGUAGCGGGGGAUAACUAUUGGAAACGAUAGCUAAUACCGCAUAACAGUAGAUGUUGCAUGACAUUUACUUAAAAGGUGCAAUUGCAUCACUACCAGAUGGACCUGCGUUGUAUUAGCUAGUUGGUGGGGUAACGGCUCACCAAGGCGACGAUACGUAGCCGGCCUGAGAGGGUGAUCGGCCACACUGAGACUGAGACACGGCCCAGACUCCUACGGGAGGCAGCAGUAGGGAAUCUUCGGCAAUGGACGGAAGUCUGACCGAGCAACGCCGCGUGAGUGAAGAAGGUUUUCGGAUCGUAAAGCUCUGUUGUAAGAGAAGAACGAGUGUGAGAGUGGAAAGUUCACACUGUGACGGUAUCUGACCAGAAAGGGACGGCUAACUACGUG
rnacentral:rRNA from 1 species